rnacentral:lncRNA from 1 species
CGCAGCGGAUCCGGCGCCCUCAUUGGCCAUUUCCCUCCGCCUGAUUCGGCUUCGGCGAAAGGCCGACCACGUGCUAGCGCUUCGAGAACUCGAUCGACCCUGUUACCGAACAGCGCAUUCCAUCCAUUUUCGCAGGUAGUGUUGCCCAGUAUAUGUAACACUCGGACCAAUGCCAACCAUGUUACAUGCUUAACUGCUGUAGUCGUUCCUAGUUAGGGUCCAACCGUCCAAGUCUAUGCAUAUCUUAAUACUUUUAGCUGAUCUUGUGCAGACUUAUUAUAGUUUUCGUGUCUGUUUGCAGAAAUGGAUGGAUUCUCAUGUUAGUGCCUGGCCGUAGCAUUAGUGCCCUUGAUUAGUUGACCUGGUGACGGUGGGGAAGACAUCACCAUAGUGGUAACAAAAAAAAACAUGUAGUCAGUCACAAUGGAGAGACUAGAGACAUGAAAUUUGGUGUUUGUGAAAAUAAACCACCUACCUUACGAUGUUGAUAGCGUUUACAGAGAUGUAGUAACUGAGUUGCUCCCACCAAAUUUGUUGAUAAAAAGAAAGCAUUGCUGUUAUGAGAAGAACACUCGGUGCCGUUAUGCAAGGAAAUAUCAGCCCAUCAUGCUGUUUAUUUGUUGAUUUGAAACACAACAACCUGCUACCAUUUUACAAUAGGUUCCUGCCAAUGCACACAACAAUUCACCUAUUGCAUCUUAUCUACUUAUGCCUAUUAGCUUAUAACGUCAACAGAGCCAACAAACAGUGUGCACAGCUCAAAUAUUUACAUCAGUUGCAUUUAAUGUCAAUAUGAAUAGGCAGGAUGGUCGUCUUCAUCAUCAUAUGACAUAAGAGCCUUCAGAAUCUCGUCCAUUGUCGGCCUCUCGCAUCUACCUCCAAGGCAUGCAACAGCUAUUCUCACUAUUGCAGUUGCCUGCUCUAGAUCGAAAUUCCCUUUCAAUCUGGGAUCCACUAGAUCAGUGAUCCUCUCAGUAGCCAGAAUCUGUUUGGCCUCCUGGAUGAAGUCUGGAAACUCCACUUGUCUUCCGUCGACCAUUAUGCCACUUGAAACCCUAGCUCCAGUCACAAUCUCCAGAAGCACAACACCGUAGCUGUAAACAUCAACCUUCGCAUUGAUCGGGGUAUUCAAUGCCCAUUCUGGUGCCAUGUAGCCCAUUGUGCCUCUCAUAUGGGUGAAAUUGAAGCUAGCGCUGUCUCGCUUCGCAAGCUUGGCUAGUCCAAAGUCUGCUAUUUUGGCACCGAAAUCUCGAGUUAGGAGUAUGUUUUCUGGCUUCACGUCACAAUGGACGAUCCACUCAAGGCAUUCAUGAUGAAGAUAAGCAAGACCCCUUGCUGCACCCACAGCGAUCUUGUACCUUUGGUUCCAAUCGAGCAGACUUUCAGUACUUCUCUCGCCAAAGAGGUACUUGUCCAGUGACUCAUUCUCCACAUACUCAUAUACUAAUAAUCUGUUUUUCCCUUCUGAGCAAAAUCCCAUCAUCCUGACCAAAUUUAUGUGAUUGAUCCUUCCAAUUAGAGUCACUUCUGCCCAGAAUUCCUCUUCUCCCUGUUGGACAUUUGUGAGUUUCUUUACUGCCACUAUUUUCUUAUCUUCAAGUACUCCUCUGUAAACAAUUCCAGCACCCCCUCUCCCAAUCUCUUCUUUGAACUUUCCAGUUGCUUCCCUCAAUUCUCGGUAUGUAAACCGCCUGAACUGGUUUGUUAUCAUCUUGUAUCCAUCCUCCAUUGAUUUGGGCAUGUUACUCUUUCUGAAAAAAAGACACCAUCCUGUCACAAUGACAAGCAACUCUAGAACUCCCAGUAUUGCACCAAAGACAUAUAAGUAUAUCCACUUUAUGUUGUCCUUCUUGAUUCCAUACAUAUUUGCUGAUCCUAGCAUAAUCUCUGAACCACUGGGUCUGCAGGUUAGGCCUUCCUGUUUGGAGAUCGAGGACGCUGAACCAUUGAAACUCUUUGGUACUUUCAUGUAGUUGUCUCCUGGGAAAUAUGGGUACACCUGACCGUUGUAGAGUAUGUUUUUAGUAUAACACCAACCAUCUCCACCCUUGUAUGUGAAAGAUAUACAUGAGCUGCUGUUGAGGCAAAUGUCCCAACAUGCUUCAAAUGAGAUGGAUUGAUUAGAACCCAGAUCAAAGCCAUAGAAGUCUGCAUGAGGUUGCUUAACAAAUGUAAAGUUAUCAUGUGGUUGAUUGCUGCCAAUUGUGAAUGUUGGUUUGCAUCCCUUGUUCCAGUCUGUUGGAUCAACCAUCACAUAUUCUGGAGGACAUCUACAUUUAAGGCCUUCUGAGUAGUCACAAAGCCCAUUCUUGCCGCACAAUCCGUGCACAUAGCACAUCUGUAUUACAGCCUGCCCUGUAACCACCCAUUUCCUUGCUGACGCAUCCAAGCUGUACAUUCUAAAAUUGCCAUCAUGAUCAAUUGUAAUCCUCCUCUUGAUCCCAGGGCCUGAAUCUGAAGCCACUAUUUUAAACCCAUCACUUGACACAAAAUUACCCUUGUCGUCCAGAAAUGCGACCCUGGUGCUGUUAUAUCUAUUGCGCCCAUUUUUCUGUGCAUCGUAAUCUGGACUUGGCCAGUAGAUGCUUGUAAUAUCUGGGCCAUCAUACAACAGGCGCAAGACAUUGUCGUUGUCAAAGUAGAGGUGAUGGUAACCAGAGGCUAACCUUAUGUCUUUCUUGAGUUUCUGCCAAGGGAGCAAGGUGUCUGUUGGUGAAUCAAAGCUCUGCCAUACGACUUUAUUGCUCGAAUCAUUGAUUACAAGGUUGCCAGUGUCGAGCAGGGAAACAAUUGUGUGCUUACCUGAAGAUGUCUUGCUUUCCCAUACCAUGGAGCCAUUUGUAUCUGCCAGGACCAGGUUUCCAUCCUGGUUCAGCGAUAUUCUGGAGCCGUGAAGGUUCACCGGGGAAUAGUAGCCAUUUGCUGCGGAGUAGGGAUUUGCCGUCCAGACAACCGUUUUCAUGGCGGUGUACCAGAUGGAGAAGGUGAAAGCAUUUGUCCCAACUCGAUGGAAGCCGCAGGAGAAGGUGGUGUCUGGUGAGAGGAGAAAGAUUCUGUCAUGGUCUUCUGGUCUCAUGUAUGAGCCGGUGGUCAUGGUCUGCCAUGGGGAAGCAGAAACGCAAGAGCAAAGGUGGAAGGAGAGAGAUGAAAGAAGGGCUAGAAAGAGCAGUGCAGCCAUUUUUCUCCUCUCCGGGGAGGUCUGCUUUGGGUAUGGAUGUGCAGAGAUUAGAGAGUGGUAAGGCAGCUUAAGUUCCAAAUGCUUUGCUUUUUAACUAGAUGACGAUGUGCAUUAGCACAUAGACCAAUUAUGUUAGAUGCUGACCUGAACUAUUGAAAACUAGACUGAGAAGACAAACUUGUCAUGCGGGUCCAGAGUGUACACAUUGUUUUGCUAUAGUUAAGGUAUUGGGUUGGUUGGCAUGAUGUCAACUAAUGGAACAUUGUGCGUAAAGGAUACUGCCAGUUACUAUUUACAAAUAAGACAUAGAAAGAGGCUAAUAGGCCCACACUUGCAUAAUCCAAAAAUAGUACUGUUAAACUAAUAAUUGAAUGUGAGACAAUGCUAACUAAGUAGACAGUGGUCACUACUAAUACAACAAUGUCUUCCGUCAAAUCAAAAACCUACCUACUCAUGGGACCUCCAAUGAGGUUCUUUUUUUUCUUCAACGACCUUAUCUGGUUCACACAAGUUUUUCGUCUUCAUAAGUUCAAAAAAGGAAAAGUUUUUCGUCUUCAUUCCAAGUAAAACCAAGGUGCAUACGUGCUGCAGCUUUAGAUUUUGCACGAUCUGUAUAUCUUAACUUUAGCGUUCAUAAUCUUCUUCACACAAGACCAAUUAUGUAUCCUGUUUUAGUUAUUUAACCAUUAACCAUUGUAUAGCAAACUUUUGAGAGCGGCGAUUUGGUGCCCGGGCUCAUCUGAACAGUACCGGCGUUAAAAAUAGUUUUUUUUUGUGAUGCAAGAUGGUCAAAUGCAUGGUGUUCAUGCAAAAUUUCAUAAAGUUUGGACAUUCGAUGAGCUCGUGGCAAAAAAAAUCAGGACUGUGAGAAACAUUUGAAAACAGCACUGUUCACACCUGAUUUUGUCUUUUUUGGCGCGCGCUCCUAGAAUGUCCAGACUUCAUCAAAUUUUGCAUGAACAUCAUGCACAUGCACAUCUUGCUUGCAAAAAAAAUUCGGAUUUUUUAGAUUUUUUUCUAUUUUUUACGGUGUUACUGUUCACUGGGCUCAUAUGAGCCCGGGCUCAGAGGUGGAUUAUCGCAAACUUUUGUGCUUUUGAGUUUCCCUUGAGAAAACUAAACGCCAUGCACAUGUUGUUUGUGUUGAACUAUUCUUACUUAUAGCCAUUGUUUGAUAAAGUCCGUUAGGUGGCGGUUGUUUCAGUAUUGUUAUCUUCGUAUUGUCGGACUGAUUGAUGGUUUUCAUUAGGCAACUGAAUAGAAUACCGGAGAUACUAGUAGUUAUUGACAGUAUCUCCAUGCAUGACUUGGCCUACUAGCUAGUACGUACUGGCUUGAUAUUUUCUGAAGUACUCAGUCAUCAUUGUCCUCUAAUUUCCACAUCGAUGUGUCACCAUCUUUACCCUAGUGGGCAUCUUAGCAAAGCAGGAAUCAGCAUCUCUCACUGUUUCUUUUUUUUCUUUUGGCCAGGAAAAAAAAACAGGGGAGCAACCAGGCAAACCCACUCUAUGCAAUUCUCUCAAAACUGAAAGAGGGCAGGUCGAGCCAGAGAUAGAUUGUCACCGGAGACGGCUUGAUUGUUUGAUGACUGCUCACGCUUAUUCAUGUGAACGUUGACCUAGUGACCUGACCUACAAGUAUUGGUGCGUCUUUGGUGUAUUUGUCUGCAUUUUUGUUCUCUCUUGGCUGUAGACUGUAUUUAGUCCUCGUGUGAAGCCGGGGGCAGCACCCAGUAUCAACAUACGCUGCUACUCUGAAACUGAAAGGGACGCACCCAUGGUUUUAGACUUCGAUUAGGAUGUGCGCAGUUUUUUCACACUGCUGUCAGUUUGUUAUCGGUCACUUGCUUCCGCAUUGGUUCCGUGGUUUAUCUUUCUGCGUGGUUGGUGCGCACUUGCUUGCUUUCAGAAAUAGUCCAAGUCAUGUGUGGACCGCACAAAACUCAAUGUGAUUAGUAUGAGUGAGUACCCUAUUUCAGAUUUUUGUCAUCGACAUCGACACCUAUAGCCGAUCCAGG